rnacentral:ribozyme from 1 species
GUAAGAAAAGGAUGGAUCAGAAAGAACAAAGCAGGAUGGAUCCAUAGAAACACUUAUUGGUAGAUUUCUCGUUCAUUUUAUUUUAUUCAUUAACUUUGCAUUUAUUACAAUUUGC